rnacentral:ncRNA from 2 species
GUCGAAGCCCGGGCAGGAAGCCUCCAUGCCGGGUGAAGAGGGAACCCGGUGGGAAUCCGGGACUGUCCCGCAGCGGUAUGCAGGAACGACCGCCGUCAUGAGCACUGGGCACCGCCCGGGAAGCGACGGCCAGUAGGUCGGCCGAGUUCGGCCGGUGCCCGCGAGUCCGAAGACCUGCCGACUGUGCCGGAUACGC